AACUACUAACUCAUGAACAAAAUACACAGCUGUAACAACUAUGAAAAUGUAAACAACAAAGAUCGGGCCCCGGUUCCGGACCCAGCGUACCCGCCCUACCAUGAGACGAUCACCUCCACUCGUCUCCCUCAUUUUGGCCACCAAAUGGCCUAUAUUAGCCCGUGUCGGCCAUAAUGCCCACUCUCCCCAGCAAUAUUAUUUUAGCCGGACAUGAUUUCUUUCAAUAGCUGUUUAGGAUCUCAUGCAAGCGGAUAAUUCAUUAACUUCACAGG